rnacentral:rRNA from 1 species
CCUACGGGGAGCUGCAGUAGGGAAUCUUUCACAAUGGGCGAAAGCCUGAUGGAGCAACGCCGCGUGCAGGAUGAAGGCCUUCGGGUUGUAAACUGCUUUUAUAAGCGAGAAAUAUGAUGGUAACUUAUGAAUAAGGAUCGGCUAACUACGUGCCAGCAGCCGCGGUCAUACGUAGGAUCCGAGCAUUAUCCGGAGUGACUGGGUGUAAAGAGUUGCGUAGGUGGCAUAAUAAGUAGCUAGUGAAAUCUGGUGGCUCAACCAUUCAGACUAUUAGCUAAACUGUUAAGCUCGAGACCGUUAGGGGUAACUGGAAUUUCUAGUGUAGGAGUGAAAUCCGUAGAUAUUAGAAGGAACACCAAUAGCGUAGGCAGGUUGCUGGGACGGGUCUGACACUAAGGCACGAAAGCGUAGGGAGCAAACGGGAUUAGAUACCCGAGUAGUC